ensembl:snRNA Gm25020 predicted gene, 25020
GUGCUCCCUUCAGCAGCACAUAUACUAAAACUUGAACAGUACAGAGAAGAUUAGCAUGGUGCCUGCGCAAGGAUGACACACAAAUUCAUGAAGCAUUCCAUAUUUUU